AGAAUCAACGCUGGCGGCGUGCCUAACACAUGCAAGUCGAACGAGAAAGGGUAGCAAUACCUGAGUACAGUGGCGCACGGGUGAGUAACACGUGACUAACCUACCCUGGAGUGGGGAAUAACUGAGGGAAACCUUAGCUAAUACCGCAUAAUACCUACGGGUCAAAGGAGCAAUUCGCUUAAGGAGGGGGUCGCGGCAGAUUAGCUAGUUGGCGGGGUAAUGGCCCACCAAGGCAGUGAUCUGUA
rnacentral:rRNA from 1 species